GCGCAUUUACGGUGCGAGUGUAUAUACAUUAUUAGUGCAUUUCAUUAGUUGACAGUAGCUUAUUAUCGCAUUUCAGAAUCGGAAGCGUCAAUUGCAAGUAUUACAACAAUGGCCGUGAGAAAAAUCGAUCCUUCCGGUGUGGUGGUACGCGAGGAACAGAAAGUGAGAAAGAGCGUUGGACGAAGGAAAUGAUCGAUUUAAAUUCCAUCCGGUGCCCGGUGAUCGUUCCAUCCGCGUUACGAUGUAUCCAUGCUCGCAUGGAAAAGCAAAUUUUCUUGCAGUUUUGAAGAAUCCUAAUGCUUAACGUCUUUCGCCGUACAAACGUUUACGUAAUCGUCUAUCAAGCAAUACUAUUAACGUCGCCACUGUUACGGAUUCUGCUUAUAGAGAGCUUCAAACUUACUUACGUAAAAGCUUUAAAUAAGCAUUUGUGUACGUACACCUGCAUAAGAGGGCAUCCGUAGAAAAAAAAAAAAAGAUACGGUGCGAGACAGUUUUGAUAGAGAAUCUAAGUAUAAUCGUGUCUGGAAAGGGCUUCAAGAGAGAGAGAGAGGGAGAGAGAGAGAGAGAAAGAGUGAAAACUGACCUUGAGAAAGACACCCAACACCGCAAGACCGUCCGAUGCUUUUGCAGCUUCCGCAAAUGUCUUGUACUUGCUUGUGUUCCAAUGAACCAAAUGGAGCUAAAAAGAUCAACAGAAUAAGUAAUACAGGCCGUAAUACCUAAGAGUUACUCUGUUCGUUGGUCGUCGCGUAAAGACAAAUAAAAAUACAUAAAAACUACUUACAUACAUAUCUUAUUGUUAGAAGAAAAAGUCUAGGAUUAGAAGUAAACUCGUAAGUUCGAGCGAGCGACCGCGACGUGAUUCAUGCUCCACGUGAAAUGAAUUAACAACACGAUACACGAGACUCGACGUCGAUCGCUAAACCGAGACAACAACGACGACCUACAACCUACUUCUUCCUCAAAUCUUCUAUUUUUUACUCGUAGAAAGAAUUUUGAUGAAAAAGUGUCGUCUAUCAAUAGAAUGAAAUGCAAACAACGAAACUUUUCCUCCGUUUCUAAUAAUUCUAUAUGUUAACUAUAUAUUGCAUAAGGUCAAAGUGUCGAUAUAUAAAUUUAUAAAUUAAAAUUUGGAAUGUAAAAAUAAACAUUUCGAUGAUUUUUUUUUCGCGCGCAAGUAUUUUUAAUUAAUUAUUAAAAACUUUAUUAUUCUCUCCAUUUUAAACGUCAAGUUUAACACUUUAUAGUUUUUAGGUAAAUGCUUAAAAAAUUCUAAUAACGUGAUUUAAGUAAAGAUUAUGCAAAAAAUAUAGAGAAUUCGUA